rnacentral:rRNA from 1 species
AACGAACGCUGGCGGCAGGCCUAACACAUGCAAGUCGAACGCCCGUAGCAAUACGGGAGUGGCAGACGGGUGAGUAACGCGUGGGAACGUGCCCUUCGGUUCGGAAUAACUCAGGGAAACUUGAGCUAAUACCGGAUACGUCCGUAAGGAGAAAGAUUUAUCGCCGAAGGAUCGGCCCGCGUCGGAUUAGCUAGUUGGUGAGGUAACGGCCCACCAAGGCGACGAUCCGUAGCUGGUCUGAGAGGANGAUCAGCCACACUGGGACUGAGACACGGCCCAGACUCCUACGGGAGGCAGCAGUGGGGAAUAUUGGACAAUGGGCGAAAGCCUGAUCCAGCCAUGCCGCGUGAGUGAAGAAGGCCUUAGGGUUGUAAAGCUCUUUCAGCGGGAAGAUAAUGACGGUACCCGCAGAAGAAGCCCCGGCUAACUUCGUGCCAGCCGCCGCGGUAAC